rnacentral:rRNA from 1 species
AUUGAACGCUGGCGGCAGGCCUAACACAUGCAAGUCGAGCGGAUGAAGGGAGCUUGCUCCUGGAUUCAGCGGCGGACGGGUGAGUAAUGCCUAGGAAUCUGCCUGGUAGUGGGGGAUAACGUCCGGAAACGGGCGCUAAUACCGCAUACGUCCUGAGGGAGAAAGUGGGGGAUCUUCGGACCUCACGCUAUCAGAUGAGCCUAGGUCGGAUUAGCUAGUUGGUGGGGUAAAGGCCUACCAAGGCGACGAUCCGUAACUGGUCUGAGAGGAUGAUCAGUCACAUUGGAACUGAGACACGGUCCAGACUCCUACGGGAGGCAGCAGUGGGGAAUAUUGGACGAUGGGCGAAAGCCUGAUCCAGCCAUGCCGCGUGUGUGAAGAAGGUCUUCGGAUGGUAAAGCACUUUAAGUUGGGAGGAAGGGCAGUAAGUUAAUACCUUGCUGUUUUGACGUUACCAACAGAAUAAGCACCGGCUAACUUCGUG